GGAUGUGAGGGUGAUCUGGCUGCAACAUUCGUCAUCCCAAUGAUCGCCAGGGUUGAUUCCGCUGAUCUGGCUGGCUAGGCGGGUAUCUCCCUCUUCCCCUCACAGAUCCAUGUGCGUCCCUCCCUAAGGUCAAAGAGGACGACCUUCCCCCAGAGGAGAGGACCCAACUUUGGUCAAGGGUAUAGGAGUAGCUGCGCUCCCCUGCUAGAACCUCCAAACAAGCUCUCCAGGUCCAAGACUCCAGACACAUCCAAAUGAGGUGCUGCACAUGGCAGUCUUUCUUU
rnacentral:snRNA from 1 species